rnacentral:rRNA from 1 species
AGCAGUCGCCACGGGAAUACGGAGGGUGCAAGCGUUAUCCGGAUUUAUUGGGUUUAAAGGGUCCGUAGGCGGAUCUGUAAGUCAGUGGUGAAAUCUCACAGCUUAACUGUGAAACUGCCAUUGAUACUGCAGGUCUUGAGUAAAUUUGAAGUGGCUGGAAUAAGUAGUGUAGCGGUGAAAUGCAUAGAUAUUACUUAGAACACCAAUUGCGAAGGCAGGUCACUAAGAUUUAACUGACGCUGAUGGACGAAAGCGUGGGGAGCGAACAGGAUUAGAUACCCCAGUAGUCCUGUCUCUUAUACA